GACGAACGCUGGCGGCGUGCCUAAUACAUGCAAGUCGAACGAAGCUGUUUUAACUGGUGCUUGCACCGACUUAAACAACUGAGUGGCGAACGGGUGAGUAACACGUGGGUAACCUGCCCCAAAGCGGGGGAUAACAUUUGGAAACAGAUGCUAAUACCGCAUAACCACAGAAACCACAUGGUUUCUGUGUCAAAGAUGGUUUCGGCUAUCACUUUAGGAUGGACCCGGGGCGUAUUAGCUAGUUGGUAAGGUAAUGGCUUACCAAGGCAAUGAAACGUAGCUGAACUGAGAGUUUGAGCGGCCAAAUUGGGACUGGGACACGGCCCAAACACCUACGGGAGGCAGCAGUAGGGAAUCUUCCACAAUGGACGAAAGUCUGAUGGAGCAACGCCGCGUGAGUGAAGAAGGUUCUCGGAUCGUAAAACUCUGUUGUCAGAGAAGAACGUGUGCGAGAGUAACUGCUCGUGCAGUGACGGUAUCUGGCCAGAAAGCCACGGCUAACUACGUGCCAGCCGCCGCCGUAA
rnacentral:rRNA from 1 species